UAGCCCUAAUCUCUAUCCCAUGGAGCCA
rnacentral:piRNA from 1 species